rnacentral:pre_miRNA from 1 species
ACUGGGAUAGCUGGGUCAAAUGGUGGCUCCAUUCUACUUUUUAAAGGAAUCUCCAUACUACUUUCCAGAUUGCUUGCAUCAAUUUGCAGUCCCACCAGCAAU